GAGUUUGAUCCUGGCUCAGGAUGAACGCUGGCGGCGUGCUUAACACAUGCAAGUCGAACGAACCUUCGGGUUAGUGGCGGACGGGUGAGUAACGCGUGGGAAUCUGCCCUCAGGAGGGGGAUAACGGUUGGAAACGACCGCUAAUACCCCAUAUGCCGAGAGGUGAAAUGAAUUUCGCCUGAGGAUGAGCCCGCGUCUGAUUAGCUUGUUGGUGAGGUAAUGGCUCACCAAGGCAUCGAUCAGUAGCUGGUCUGAGAGGAUGAUCAGCCACACUGGGACUGAGACACGGCCCAGACUCCUACGGGAGGCAGCAGUGGGGAAUUUUCCGCAAUGGGCGAAAGCCUGACGGAGCAACGCCGCGUGAGGGACGAAGGCCUCUGGGCUGUAAACCUCUUUUCUCAAGGAAGAAGAUAUGACGGUACUUGAGGAAUAAGCCACGGCUAAUUCCGUGCCAGCAGCCGCGGUAAUACGGGAGUGGCAAGCGUUAUCCGGAAUUAUCGGGCGUAAAGCGUCCGCAGGCGGCCCUUCAAGUCUGCUGUUAAAACGUGGAGCUCAACUCCAUCAUGGCAGCGGAAGCUGAUUGGCUUGAGUAUGGUAGGGGCAGAGGGAAUUCCCGGUGUAGCGGUGAAAUGCGUAGAUAUCGGGAAGAACACCAGUGGCGAAGGCGCUCUGCUGGGCCAUUACUGACGCUCAUGGACGAAAGCCAGGGGAGCGAAAGGGAUUAGAUACCCCUGUAGUCCUGGCCGUAAACGAUGAACACUAGGUGUCGGGGGAAUCGACCCCUUCGGUGUCGUAGCUAACGCGUUAAGUGUUCCGCCUGGGGAGUACGCACGCAAGUGUGAAACUCAAAGGAAUUGACGGGGGCCCGCACAAGCGGUGGAGUAUGUGGUUUAAUUCGAUGCAACGCGAAGAACCUUACCAGGGCUUGACAUCCUGCGAACCUUUAAGAAAUUAGAGGGUGCCUUCGGGAACGCAGUGACAGGUGGUGCAUGGCUGUCGUCAGCUCGUGUCGUGAGAUGUUGGGUUAAGUCCCGCAACGAGCGCAACCCACGUUUUUAGUUGCCAGCAUUUAGUUGGGCACUCUAGAAAGACCGCCGGUGAUAAACCGGAGGAAGGUGUGGAUGACGUCACGUCAUCAUGCCCCUUACGUCCUGGGCUACACACGUACUACAAUGCUACGGACAAAGGGCAGCAAACUCGCGAGAGCUAGCAAAUCCCAUAAACCGUGGCUCAGUUCAGAUCGUAGGCUGCAACUCGCCUACGUGAAGUAGGAAUCGCUAGUAAUCGCAGGUCAGCAUACUGCGGUGAAUACGCUCCCGGGCCUUGUACACACCGCCCGUCACACCAUGGAAGUUGGCCAUGCCCGAAGUCGUUACUUUAACCCUUGUGGAGAAGGACGCCGAAGGUGGGGCUGAUGACUGGGGUGAAGUCGUAACAAGGUAACC
rnacentral:rRNA from 1 species